UUUAACCAUGUAGUUCUUUGCCAAUAGAGGGCAGUAAAAGUGCACUGAAAAAUAGUUCAUUCCACCUUCUGUUGAUCAUAUGGCUAGAGCUUCUCCAGAAUAUCCUAUCAUCUGCUUGGGUCUUUAGGCUUCUGGAUGGCUGGUACAUGAUUCCUCUGAUUGUAUCCAUCCGUCUUGUAGCAGGUCAUCCUUUUCCUCUUUUACUGAUCCAGUUUUUCAUUGAAUUGGUUCUUCUCAGAAUACGUCCAAAAUAAGAGUUUUAGUUUGGUUACCUGGGAUUCAAGUGGGAGCUUUCACAUCCAUAAAGAACCACAGAGAAGACCAUGCCUGGACAAAUCUGAUCUUUGUUUGUGGCGACAUGCAGGAUGAACAGAUAUGAUGAUAUGCAGCCUUGUCUCCUCUUGCCAAUGUGAAAGUAGACUGUUUGUUCAUGUUCUGUCCUGACUGUGUCUCGUUGAUCAGUGUAGACAGUGUAUAAAUGCAUUCAGUCUUCUGGAAAAGAGGCAUAAAAUGUGAUUUGAAUUUGCCUUUGAAUUUUUGUCUAAGUAACAUAUUACAAAUAUCCACUUCUGGGCUGCUGUAUAUGCAUGUAUGAUCCAUACAUUGGACAGACUUUAGUAAAUUAACUUAGGAAGAAA